rnacentral:rRNA from 1 species
AGAGUUUGAUCCUGGCUCAGAUUGAACGCUGGCGGCAGGCCUAACACAUGCAAGUCGAACGGUAACAGGAAGAAGCUUGCUUCUUUGCUGACGAGUGGCGGACGGGUGAGUAAUGUCUGGGAAACUGCCUGAUGGAGGGGGAUAACUACUGGAAACGGUAGCUAAUACCGCAUAACGUCGCAAGACCAAAGAGGGGGACCUUCGGGCCUCUUGCCAUCGGAUGUGCCCAGAUGGGAUUAGCUAGUAGGUGGGGUAACGGCUCACCUAGGCGACGAUCCCUAGCUGGUCUGAGAGGAUGACCAGCCACACUGGAACUGAGACACGGUCCAGACUCCUACGGGAGGCAGCAGUGGGGAAUAUUGCACAAUGGGCGCAAGCCUGAUGCAGCCAUGCCGCGUGUAUGAAGAAGGCCUUCGGGUUGUAAAGUACUUUCAGCGGGGAGGAAGGGAGUAAAGUUAAUACCUUUACUCAUUGACGUUACCCGCAGAAGAAGCACCGGCUAACUCCGUGCCAGCAGCCGCGGUAAUACGGAGGGUGCAAGCGUUAAUCGGAAUUACUGGGCGUAAAGCGCACGCAGGCGGUUUGUUAAGUCAGAUGUGAAAUCCCCGGGCUCAACCUGGGAACUGCAUCUGAUACUGGCAAGCUUGAGUCUCGUAGAGGGGGGUAGAAUUCCAGGUGUAGCGGUGAAAUGCGUAGAGAUCUGGAGGAAUACCGGUGGCGAAGGCGGCCCCCUGGACGAAGACUGACGCUCAGGUGCGAAAGCGUGGGGAGCAAACAGGAUUAGAUACCCUGGUAGUCCACGCCGUAAACGAUGUCGACUUGGAGGUUGUGCCCUUGAGGCGUGGCUUCCGGAGCUAACGCGUUAAGUCGACCGCCUGGGGAGUACGGCCGCAAGGUUAAAACUCAAAUGAAUUGACGGGGGCCCGCACAAGCGGUGGAGCAUGUGGGUUUAAUUCGAUGCAACGCGAAGAACCUUACCUGGGCUUGACAUCCACCGGAAAUUUUCUAAAAAUGAGAAAUGUGCCUUCCGGGAACCCUGAGACAAGGGGCUCCAUGGCUGUCCUCCACCCCCGGUUGUGGAAAAAAUGUGUGUUAAUUCCCCCCACCAAAGGGAACCCCUUAUUCUUUUUGUGUCACCCGGGCGCGCGCGGGAACUCCAAAAGAGAAUGUCCCUGGUAAACCUGAGGGAAGAGUGGGGGUAGAAUUCAAAUCUUAUUUGGCCUUUUAAACACAAGGGGUUCACACUUGGUUUCAAUGGGCCGUAUCAAAAAGAAAACGACUCUCGCGAAGAAAGCGACCUCAUAAAGUGCGUCGUAGUCCGGAUUGGAGUCUGCAACUCGACUCCAUGAAGUCGGAAUCGCUAGUAAUCGUGGAUCAGAAUGCCACGGUGAAUACGUUCCCGGGCCUUGCACACACCGCCCGUC